UGAACGCUGGCGGCAUGCCUUACACAUGCACGUCGACCGGCAGCACGGGUGCUUGCCCCUGGUGGCGAGUGGCGAACGGGUGAGUAAUACAUCGGAACAUGUCCUGUAGUGGGGGAUAGCCCGGCGAAAGCCGGAUUAAUACCGCAUACGAUCUACGGAUGAAAGCGGGGGACCUUCGGGCCUCGCGCUAUAGGGUUGGCCGAUGGCUGAUUAGCUAGUUGGUGGGGUAAAGGCCUACCAAGGCGACGAUCAGUAGCUGGUCUGAGAGGACGACCAGCCACACUGGGACUGAGACACGGCCCAGACUCCUACGGGAGGCAGCAGUGGGGAAUUUUGGACAAUGGGCGAAAGCCUGAUCCAGCAAUGCCGCGUGUGUGAAGAAGGCCUUCGGGUUGUAAAGCACUUUUGUCCGGAAAGAAAUCCUUGGCCCUAAUACGGUCGGGGGAUGACGGUACCGGAAGAAUAAGCACCGGCUAACUACGUG
rnacentral:rRNA from 1 species